ACAUAAGCACUUGUAAGCGUCUGAUUGAAGAUGAAGGAAAUACCAAAAAGUGAAACUACGCCUGACAAUUAUUGAACAGUUGUUUUUUGUAGAUAAGUAUUAGUGGUAUGGAAGUGACAAUAAAUCUAUUGUAUAAAUUACAUACGGGCAGAUCAUACAAAAAUGAUAACAACGCAAUAAUUAACACGAACCCCAAAAAAAAAACAAAAAAAAACAACCUUACCGAAGACCGAGUUGUUCAUGAGUUUGAAGAAGUUCUUCUCGAAAGCAGUCUUGGCUUGUUGUCGCAUUUUGGUGUUGAGCUCAACGUAGGGUUUCAUGAAAGCCUCUUGUUGGAACUCUAAUACUUUAUGUAUUUUUUUCAAUUUUAGACCGAGUUGGAGAUGCAGUUGCAGGUUGCGAUAGUGAAGUACAUAAUUCUGUUUGUUUUCUAAAGUGGUGCGGACUUGGAGAGCGGUGUUCUUGCAGUAGAAGAUGGUGUAGAUGGCUGACUGUAGCUGUGCUCGUUCUGAAGUUGUGAAGUGGUGAGAAGUCCUGUUGUAUGAUCUACAUUGCUUGUUGAAGAGGAGCUUUGGGUGUUGCUGCUUGGAGGUCGAAAGACAAUCAACGUCUGAGAGGGAAAUAUGUUGGUGCGCAAUUUAUACAACUUGUUUGAAUGUGGGCUUACAUCAACGACAGCAAGACUUUGAUCGACACUCUACUCUGUCAAAUGGAUAUUUAGCUGUGCUGUUUUUCAACAACUCUGCAUGAGCUACAAUAAGAGCUGGAUUGACUCUUACCUUCUUUGCUAUUCGCUUUUCGCUUGAUUUACAAUUUGCAGUGUGGGGGAAGUCACGUUCAAUGUCAAGUCACUGCUCUCUGCGGAAGCCUUAUGAGAUCAUCCGGGGAUAUCGCCAUAUUGAAAACCCGCCAGAGGUUCGGUCCACGUCCAUGGUGCUCGGGAUGAGUCAUUGGAGGAAGAAGAUCGGGUGUCCUUAUGCUGCCGUGAAAUGUCGUUUUUAUGAUGUCCAAUUAUGUUCAAAAAUAAACAACUUGGAGAAUGUG